rnacentral:rRNA from 1 species
UAAGUGGAUAGUGAACCUGGUGGCUCAACCAUACAGACUAUUAUCCAAACCUAGUUAAGCUCGAGAAUGGUAGAGGUGGCUGGAAUUUCUAGUGUAGGGGUGGAAAUCCGUAGAUAUUAGAAGGAACACCGAUGGCGUAGGCAGGCCACUGGACCAUUUCUGACGCUAAGGCACGAAAGCGUGGGGAGCGAACCGGAUUAGAUACCCGGGUAGUCCACGCCGUAAACGAUGGAUGCUA